GACGAACCGUGCGAACGUUGUUCGGAAUCACUGGGCUUAAAGGGCGCGUAGGCGGGCUAUCAAGUCCGGGGUGAAAUCCUCCAGCUUAACUGGAGAAUGGCCUCGGAUACUGAUGGUCUCGAGGAGGAUAGGGGCACACGGAACUGUGGGUGGAGCGGUGAAAUGCGUUGAUAUCCAUAGGAACUCCGGUGGCGAAAGCGGUGUGCUGGAUCCUUUCUGACGCUGAGGCGCGAAAGCCAGGGGAGCAAACGGG
rnacentral:rRNA from 1 species